rnacentral:rRNA from 1 species
AUGCAAGUCGAACGAGAGAAGAGAAGCUUGCUUUUCUGAUCUAGUGGCGGACGGGUGAGUAACACGUGAGCAAUCUGCCUUUCAGAGGGGGAUACCGAUUGGAAACGAUCGUUAAUACCGCAUAAUAUAAUUGAACCGCAUGAUUUGAUUAUCAAAGAUUUAUCGCUGAAAGAUGAGCUCGCGUCUGAUUAGCUAGUUGGUAAGGUAACGGCUUACCAAGGCGACGAUCAGUAGCCGGACUGAGAGGUUGAUCGGCCACAUUGGGACUGAGACACGGCCCAGACUCCUACGGGAGGCAGCAGUGGGGAAUAUUGCACAAUGGAGGAAACUCUGAUGCAGCGAUGCCGCGUGAGGGAAGAAGGUUUUAGGAUUGUAAACCUCUGUCUUCAGGGACGAAAAAAGACGGUACCUGAGGAGGAAGCUCCGGCUAACUACGUGCCAGCAGCCGCGGUAAUACGUAGGGAGCGAGCGUUGUCCGGAAUUACUGGGUGUAAAGGGAGCGUAGGCGGGAUCGCAAGUCAGAUGUGAAAACUAUGGGCUUAACCCAUAAACUGCAUUUGAAACUGUGGUUCUUGAGUGAAGUAGAGGUAAGCGGAAUUCCUAGUGUAGCGGUGAAAUGCGUAGAUAUUAGGAGGAACAUCAGUGGCGAAGGCGGCUUACUGGGCUUUAACUGACGCUGAGGCUCGAAAGCGUGGGGAGCAAACAGGAUUAGAUACCCUGGUAGUCCACGCCGUAAACGAUGAUUACUAGGUGUGGGGGGACUGACCCCUUCCGUGCCGCAGCAAACGCAAUAAGUAAUCCACCUGGGGAGUACGACCGCAAGGUUGAAACUCAAAGGAAUUGACGGGGGCCCGCACAAGCAGUGGAGUAUGCGGAUUAAUUCGAAGCAACGCGAAGAACCUUACCAGGUCUUGACAUCGUAUGCAUAGCUCA